rnacentral:rRNA from 1 species
GUAGGUGGCAAGCGUUGUCCGGAAUUAUUGGGCGUAAAGCGCGCGCAGGCGGUUCUUUAAGUCUGAUGUGAAAGCCCACGGCUCAACCGUGGAGGGUCAUUGGAAACUGGGAGAACUUGAGUACAGAAGAGGAAAGCGGAAUUCCACGUGUAGCGGUGAAAUGCGUAGAGAUGUGGAGGAACACCAGUGGCGAAGGCGGCUUUCUGGUCUGUAACUGACGCUGAGGCGCGAAAGCGUGGGGAGCAAACAGGAUUAGAUACCCUGGUAGUCCACGCCGUAAACGAUGAGUGCUAAGUGUUAGGGGGUUUCCGCCCCCCUUAGUGCUGCAGCUAACGCAUUAAGCACUCCGCCUGGGAGUACGGCGCAAGGCUG